rnacentral:rRNA from 1 species
CCACCUGACUCCAUACCGAACUCAGAAGUGAAACGCAGUUACGCCGAUGGUAGUGUGGGGAUUCCCCAUGUGAGAGUAGGGCAUUGCCAAGU